UACAGAGGGUGCGAGCGUUGCUCGGAAUCACUGGGCGUAAAGCGCACGUAGGCGGACUCUUAAGUCGGUGGUGAAAUCCUGGAGCUCAACUCCAGAACUGCCUUCGAUACUGAGAAGCUUGAGUUCGGGAGAGGUGAGUGGAACUGCGAGUGUAGAGGUGAAAUUCGUAGAUAUUCGCAAGAACACCAGUGGCGAAGGCGGCUCACUGGCCCGAUACUGACGCUGAGGUGCGAAAGCGUGGGGAGCAAACAGG
rnacentral:rRNA from 1 species